rnacentral:rRNA from 1 species
GAUGAACGCUGGCGGCGUGCCUAAUACAUGCAAGUCGAGCGAACGGACGAGAAGCUUGCUUCUCUGAUGUUAGCGGCGGACGGGUGAGUAACACGUGGAUAACCUACCUAUAAGACUGGGAUAACUUCGGGAAACCGGAGCUAAUACCGGAUGAUAUUUUGAACCGCAUGGUUCAAAAGUGAAAGACGGUCUUGCUGUCACUUAUAGAUGGAUCCGCGCUGCAUUAGCUAGUUGGUAAUGUAACGGCUUACCAAGGCAACGAUGCAUAGCCGACCUGAGAGGGUGAUCGGCCACACUGGAACUGAGACACGGUCCAGACUCCUACGGGAGGCAGCAGUAGGGAAUCUUCCGCAAUGGGCGAAAGCCUGACGGAGCAACGCCGCGUGAGUGAUGAAGGUCUUCGGAUCGUAAAACUCUGUUAUUAGGGAAGAACAUAUGUGUAAGUAACUGUGCACGUCUUGACGGUACCUAAUCAGAAAGCCACGGCUAACUACGUG